GGCAGAUUUGACGGGCCAUAGAAUGAGAUGUAUACGUUCGUAUGAAGGAGCCUUCGACAUUGGCAUUUGUUACAAGGUGCUGGCAGAAUAACCUGGAUAGUGCCAAGGCAUGGAUCAAAAUCUUGGCCAAUUCGCAUUGAUAAUGGAGUACGGUUGGAGUGUAUUUUGUGCAGUUCGAUCAUCAACUGGGAAAUGGUUACAAACUUAUUUUAUCGUGUGAGCGUAACUGGAUUUCAAUACUGUAAUCUUGAAUAAAGAUCAUAUUGAGAUGAAAUAUGAUUGAUCAGAAGGACACGAUCCAUACCGGCAAAUACUGCAUCCUUCUCCUUUGGA